rnacentral:piRNA from 2 species
UGGGAGGAUCACAGGAUGUCAAGGCCUUGC